rnacentral:rRNA from 1 species
AACGCGAAGAACCUUACCUGGGUUUGACAUGCAUCUCUAAGUCGGUGAAAGCCGAUGAGCGUAGCAAUACGCAAUUUGCACAGGUGGUGCAUGGCUGUCGUCAGCUCGUGUCGUGAGAUGUUGGGUUAAGUCCCGCAACGAGCGCAACCCUCGUCCUAUGUUGCCAGCGGGUAAUGCCGGGGACUCAUAGGAGACUGCCGGGGUCAACUCGGAGGAAGGUGGGGAUGACGUCAAGUCCUCAUGCCCCUUAUGUCUUGGGCUGCAAACAUGCUACAAUGGCCAGUACAAAGGGUUGCGAGACCGCAAGGUGGAGCGAAUCCCAAAAAGCUGGUCUCAGUUCGGAUUGGGGUCUGCAACUCGACCCCAUGAAGUCGGAGUCGCUAGUAAUCGCAGAUCAGCAACGCUGCGGUGAAUACGUUCCCGGGCCUUGUACACACCGACUGUAC